rnacentral:rRNA from 1 species
CGGGGAAUAUUGGACAAUGGGCGAAAGCCUGAUCCAGCCAUGCCGCGUGUGUGAAGAAGGUCUUCGGAUUGUAAAGCACUUUAAGUUGGGAGGAAGGGCUGUCGGCUAAUACCCUGCAGUUUUGACGUUACCAACAGAAUAAGCACCGGCUAACUUCGUGCCAGCAGCCGCGGUAAUACGAAGGGUGCAAGCGUUAAUCGGAAUUACUGGGCGUAAAGCGCGCGUAGGUGGUUCAGCAAGUUGGAUGUGAAAGCCCCGGGCUCAACCUGGGAACUGUAUCCAAAACUACUGAGCUAGAGUACGGUAGAGGGUGGUGGAAUUUCCUGUGUAGCGGUGAAAUGCGUAGAUAUAAGAAGGAACACCAGUGGCGAAGGCGACCACCUGGACUGAUACUGACACUGAGGUGCGAAAGCGUGGGGAGCAAACAG